rnacentral:rRNA from 1 species
UACAGAGGGUGCAAGCGUUAAUCGGAAUUACUGGGCGUAAAGCGUGCGUAGACGGUUAUGUAAGUCAGAUGUGAAGGCCCCGGGCUCAACCUGGGAAUUGCAUUUGAGACUGGAUAGCUAGGGUGCGGAAGAGGGAAGCGGAAUUUCCGGUGUAGCGGUGAAAUGCGUAGAUAUCGGAAGGAACACCAGUGGCGAAAGCGGCUUCCUGGUCCAGCACCGACGUUCAGGCACGAAAGCGUGGGGAGCAAACAGG